rnacentral:rRNA from 1 species
GACGAACGCUGGCGGCGUGCUUAACACAUGCAAGUCGAACGGAAAGGCCCUGCUUUUGUGGGGUGCUCGAGUGGCGAACGGGUGAGUAACACGUGAGUAACCUGCCCUUGACUUUGGGAUAACUUCAGGAAACUGGGGAUAAUACCGGAUAGGAGCUCCUGCUGCAUGGUGGGGGUUGGAAAGUUUCGGCGGUUGGGGAUGGACUCGCGGCUUAUCAGCUUGUUGGUGGGGUAGUGGCUUACCAAGGCUUUGACGGGUAGCCGGCCUGAGAGGGUGACCGGCCACAUUGGGACUGCGGUACGGCCCAGACUCCUACGGGAGGCAGCAGUGGCGAGUAUUGCACAAUAGGCGGAAGCCUGAUGCAGCAACGCCGCGUGCGGGAUGACGGCCUUCGGGUUGUGAACCGCUUUCGCCUGUGACGAAGCGUGAGUGACGGUAAUGGAUAAAGAAGCACCGGCUAACUACGUG